UUGUGCAGUUGAAGUUGCACAACACUGCAGCCUUUAUGUAUAACUCCAUAUGCUUGUUGUCCUUCUCCGCCUUUUUAAACAUGAAAUUUCAAAAACAUCCAAUUCACAAAUGAGUCAUAUGAGUGUACAGAAUCCAUCUGGACAUAUAUUAUUUCUUGUAUCCUCUCUAGAAUGUGUAUAAUACAUAAGUUUUAACAAAAAUAUCAUGUUCCAAAUAUAUUUUAGCCAGUCUAGUCUUGUUGGAGGCAUUGCAUUUUUCCAUUCUUUUGCAGUACAGAUUCUUGCUGUUGUUAAUAGAUAACUGAUCAUUUCUACAUCUGUUUGCAAUACUUCUCUUAUAUAGCAAAAAAAAUUUCCUUUGGAACGUUCUUCAUUUCACUACUUGUUGUCCAAAAGUUAAUAAUAAGUGGGCAUGACCAGAAUCUAUGGCAAAUAUCUCUACCAGGAGUCUGAGACCUCCAGGAAUGAUCAUCCAUCAAAUGAUAAAUGCAUUUUAGACAUAAAGGAAUCAUAUACCAAUGAUAUUGUAACUUAUGCAGGCUCUUUCUUAAGUUUUUGAAUUGCUCCUCACUUAUGAACAUCUUUCAGUGGAAUCUCUGCUUUCAUUGCCUGAAGAACCAAGUGCAUUCAAAGGAAUGUUUGUGAAAGAAAAAGGUUGUUUAUUUCCUAAGAUGUUGGAACUGCCAGGAAGCAAAUAAAGAAGAUCAAAGCUUGCUGCAGAGAAAUGCAGAAGUGUGAAAGUAAAGACACAUCAUGGUGGAUAUAAGUGAAAUAGGAAUACAUAUUUUCACAAUGAGAUAACUGGAUAUUUCACAAGAAUGUGGGCAAUGUACCUAUCUGGGCAUAUAAUUAAAAAAUAUAUUUGUUACCUAC